AUGGCUCCUCGCACCGGGUGCCUCUCUCUGGGUCUGGGCGUUCGGAGCAGGUUUUGUGGCACGGGGACAGGCGUUCGGACUGCGGGACCCUGGCCACACGCCUCUGCCCCGCGCUUCUCGGACAGCCAGCGAGCGCCAGAGCCCGAGGCGCGACCGGCAGGGUUUCCUCCAGCACAAGUUUCAAGCUCUGAGCUCACGCAGGAGAUGGAAACACCAGAGCCGGUCCAAGACCCGGGAACACUCCAUCCCGAGCGAGCUCUGUGCAGUUCAGGAAGGCAGAAGCCAACAUUUCGGUUCCAGGGCAGGGUUUUGUUUUUUUUUUUCCGUACCGUGAGCUCCAUUUCACGCGAAAGCACACCCGGCGGGGCUGCCACGCUCCGGAGCGCGCACGGCCCCCCGCGGCUGCCCCAACGGGACGGGGGCACGCCGAGCCCCCGGGGCCACACGGCUCCCGGCCAGGCCCAGCCGGGAAGCCCCGGGAAGCCCGGCCCUGCCCUGCGGAAAGCCCCCGGGAAGCGGCCGGGGGACGGGGAGGGGGGGGGCUCGGCCGGCCACGGAGCCCCGCGGAGGGGCCGCGGCCCUCGCCCCCCACCGGGCCGGGCCGCCCCGCGCACCUACCUGCUGGGCUCGGCUGGGCUCGGCUGGGCUCGGCUGGGCUGGACUGGGCUGGGCUGGGCGCUGCGCUGCCUCCUUCCUUCCCUCCCUGCCUCCCUCCGGCGCCGUGUCCCCGGCCGGGCUCCCUACCCCGCGGGGCGGAGCCGGCGGCUGCGCUCAGCCGGCCCCGGGGCGGGCCCCCCGGCCCCCUGCCCGCCCAUGUGGCAGGCGAAGGCCGAGGCCCUGCACGCAGCGGCCCCAGCCCCGCGACCCGCUGAACACCGGGCAUUUUGCUGCCCCGGCGAGCCCUGUAAACACCAGCAGCGUUCCCCGUCCGAGCCCCACUCAGCCCUUUUCAGCCUGCUUGCCCCAGCGGGGGCGGAGAGGUGCUGGGGCGGCUGCUGGCUCUGCUGCCCGCUGUCAGUGCGUUGUUUCCCCGGCUUCGCACUUCUGUGCGGAAGGCAUCGAGCUCGCAGCACCGCGUCUUUGUUCGUGGUGUUGGAAUAA
rnacentral:lncRNA from 1 species